rnacentral:rRNA from 1 species
GAUGAACGCUGGCGGCGUGCUUAACACAUGCAAGUCGAACGAAGCGCUUAAACGGAUUUCUUCGGAAUGAAGUUUUUGCGACUGAGUGGCGACGGGUGAGUAACGCGUGGGUAACCUGCCUCAUACAGGGGGAUAACAGUUGGAAACGACUGCUAAUACCGCAUAAGCGCACAGUACCGCAUGGUACGGUGUGAAAAACUCCGGUGGUAUGAGAUGGACCCGCGUCUGAUUAGGUAGUUGGUGGGGUAACGGCCUACCAAGCCGACGAUCAGUAGCCGACCUGAGAGGGUGACCGGCCACAUUGGGACUGAGACACGGCCCAA